AACACACAUGCGCUUUUGAUCAAAUCGUGCUCCUCUUCUUAGAAUUUUUUCUUUCUUUGAUCUUUUUAAUUGAUGCUGGGCAUCAGGGUGAAGCGCAACCCUCCUCCCCCCCGGCCCCGCCUCUCCGAGGUCGGCGUCCGCCAGUGACCCAAGUGGGGAUGCGAGAGCAGAGCAAGUUCCCGUGGACGUACUCGGCCAAGGAGAUAUGCUACCCUGCUGCAGGGGAAGGUGAAGAUGUACCCGGAGGGCCACGGGGAGGAGUUCGUGGAGAUCGCGGCGGGGGACCUGGUUGUCCUCCCCAAGGGCAUGAGCUGGACCUGGGACGUCGCCGAGAUCUACUAACAUGAGGUUUACAUCAAGGCAUUCUCAAAGAUGACUCCAGUCAUCAAGGCAUCCAACAUUGGGAAGCUUGUGAAAAAUAUCUGGAAUUGUGACUUGAUGUUCGGGUGUGAAGUCCUUGAUGCAGGUUGCUGUUUAUAUAUGUGAAGAAUGUGGUUUUGAGAUAUACCAGGAAGUGACUGCUAGAUUCUUUAUGCAUCUCUUUGAAUGCCCAUCACAAUGAUGCAGGCUGAACUAAGCAAAGGGGAAUCUAAUGCUUCAAGUGGGGCAUCAAUUUUUUUGAAAUUUCAGGAGGUAAUAGCCUUUCUUCACAAUCUGGUCAAGCAUGGCUAUCUUUCUUCAGAAUGUGCCGGAGCCGGAGCUGCACUGCCGCUGGCCAACGGAUACUUCAGCGCCGACAUCGGGCAGCUUGUGAAAAAUAUCUGGAAAAUAAAAAUGCAAAUCAAUUAAUGCCUAGCCAACACAACAGAACAGAAUACCAUAAACAAAUUUAUGUAAGGAAUGAGCUAGUGAGCUUCAUAUUGCUUAUAGGUGGGAAGGCAAUUUGGGGAGGGAUCUGUAUUUUGAUGUCAGGUUGAUCAUUGUUUGGUAUCAAUGAACUGAGAUUGUACAAAAAUUAGCAUACCUUACUUUUAAGUAGCCUUGAGAAUACCAAGUUUGAACAUGUUUAUUUUUUUAAAAAAAAAUGACCAGGGCAAGUUGUUAACUCUGAUGGGAUUUCGUAGUCAGAUUAGGUUAGGUACUUUAGCUCAUAUGAAACACAUGUCUAAAGCUCUCAUGAAUUCACUAAGAAUGUAAGUUGUGAGCUACACUGAAAUACUCAACUUACAUGCUAGCUACAAGCUACAGUUUCAAGGGGAAUAAAAUAUUGCAACUUUAUGUGUUCACGAUUUUUUCUAAGGGAUCUUGGAAGUUAUAUCCUUGCAUGAACCAAAAAUGUUUUCUAAUGUUCUAAGUUUGGAAUGAUAAGAGUAAAUUUGUUUACAAUGAUCACUUGGUUCCAAACAUGAACCAUAUGCAAGUUAACUCUGAUGGGAUUUCGUAGUCAGAUUAAGUUAGGUACUUUAGCUCAUAUGAAACACAUGUGUGAAGCUCUCAUGAAUUCACUAAGAAUGUAAGUUGUGAGCUACACUGAAAUAUAUAGACUUACAGACUAGCUACAAGCUACGACAGUUGCAAGGGAAAUAAAAGAUUACAACUUCUGUGUUCACAAUUUUUUUUCUUUCUAAAGGAUCCUAUAAGUUAUAUCCUUGCAUGAACCAAAAAUGUUUUCUGAUGUUCUAAGUUUGGGAUGAUAAGAGUAAAUUUGUUUACAAUUAUCACUUGGUUCCAAACACGAACCAUAAAAGUUUUAUGAAGUUCCAAGUUUGGGAUGAUACAUAUUUGAGUAAGUUUGUUUACUAUUAUACUGUCAUUUAGAUCUCAUUUCAAAGCCCAUUUUGUAACCUGAUUUUAAUUUGGGAUAUAGAAAUGUAUUGAAUUGCCAUGUAAUCGAGGAAUAAUUUUACUUUCUUUGUCACAUCCUUAAGAUGUAUUAACCUUAUGCACUACAAUGGUGCAAUUUACAGCAGGCUCAACUUUAAGUGCAUGGGUGUACCAUCAUAAUUAUCUGAGAGUAUUCAUCGAAGAAAAUUUUCAGUGAAUAUAUUUUUAAUCUGGAUUUGCAUACCAAUAAAAGACAAGAAUCACUUUAUUAAUGAUUUCACUACAUUGAUAUGAUAAGAUUCUGUCGAGCCUAUAUUUGUCAACAUAGAACUUGCCCAGUCACUAUUGAAGUAUCGUUCUUUUGAGUUUUGAGAAAGCACGCCGUGUCGCAGGCAACGCAGGAGGUGGUGUCAUGGAUAUGGCUCACCACCGCGGAUGAGUUCAGGGCCGCCGUGGACACCGCCAAGACAGCCUUCCCCGGGUGGCGGAGCACGCCCGUCACGAUGCGACAGCACAUCAUGUUCAAGUUCCAGGAGCUCAUCCACAACUGUUUUCUUCCCCAAAAAAAAUGAAACAAAAAAAAGUCUAAAUGUCCCCUGAAUCCACGACCUUAGUUUAUAAAUGUUAUAGGUACAUAACACAUGUUAUAGGUACAAAAUUCGUCAUUACUCCUGAAAAUCUUUCUUAUAGAUGGUUGUCAGUCACUAUUUGUACAGUAUCAAACGUGGUCUCGUAUUUCCCAUAUCAUUCAGAUUGCAUGACAAGUCAAUGUUCCCACUGAUUUAUUUAUUGUAGUCCAAAAUACUUUUCUCGUA